rnacentral:rRNA from 1 species
UAGCAAUACUUUGAUGGCGACCGGCGCACGGGUGGAGUAACACGUAUGCAACCUACCACUACAGGGGGAAUAACCCGGAGAAAUUCGGACUAAUACGCAUAAAACAGGGGCUCCGCAUGGAGAUAUUUGUUAAAGAUUUAUCGGUAGUGAAUGGGCAUGCGUUCCAUUAGCUAGUUGGUAAGGUAACGGCUUACCAAGGCAACGAUGGAUAGGGGAACUGAGAGGUUUAUCCCCCACACUGGAACUGAGACACGGACCAGACUCCUACGGGAGGCAGCAGUGAGGAAUAUUGGUCAAUGGGCGAGAGCCUGAACCAGCCAAGUCGCGUGAAGGAAGACGGUCCUACGGAUUGUAAACUUCUUUUAUACAGGGGUAAAACAGGGUACGUGCUACCCUCUUGCAAGUACUGUAUGAAUAAGCAUCGGCUAACUCCGUGCCAGCAGCCGCGGUAAUACGGAGAAAAAGAGCGUUAUCCGGAUUUAUUGGGUUUAAAGGGUGCGCAGGCGGAAGUAUAAGUCAGUGGUGAAAUCCCGUAGCUCAACUACGGCACUGCCAUUGAAACUGUAUUUCUUGAAUAUGGAUGAAGUAGGCGGAACUCGUUGUGUAGCGGUGAAAUGCAUAGAUAUAACGAAGAACUCCGAUUGCGAAGGCAGCUUACUAAGCCAUUAUUGACGCUCAGGCACGAAAGCGUGGGUAUCAAACAAAGAUUAGAUACCCUGGUAGUCCACGCCGUAAACGAUGAUUACUAGUUGUUUGGCCGUAGGGCUA